UGUUCUUAUAAUAUUAUAAACAUGAAUACAAAAAAUCAUUUAAAAAUGUGAAAGUAUACACGAGUUGAAUGAAAAGUAGGGACUAAAAACAUUGAUUGAUGAAACUUCAGGACUAAAAAUUGUGAAAACAAACUUCAGGGACUAAAACGAAAAUUCUGAAAAACUAUAAGGACCAAAAACAUAUUUAACCCUAAACUUUAUUAAAACCAUAAUUUAUUUGAUAAACACGCUACUACAAACUUUGCACAUUUUAGUGCUAUCAAACCCACCCAUCCCUAAACCAUUGUUUGUCCUCAAACAAUUAAGAUAAAAUUAAAAGAAUUAGGAUUAGGACAAGUUCAGAAUACCUUCCAAGUUAGAGACUUAACAUUUCUUUAUUUCUUACCUCUCAACCACUUCAAGGAAGUUUAAUCCUUUUCAAGUCUCCUUCAAAGCUAUGUUUUUCAAUUGGCUUGACUAUAAACAAAAGUUUUCUUACCCAUCAUCCUUUUUUUUUUUGUUACAUUCUUACUCAUCCUAUUAUACCAAGAAUGAUGCUCUGGACGCGCAGAAUAGAUAUAUCUCCAACGGCGAGGCAGAUAUAUGAAAUGCUGGUUUUGAAUUCAGGCAUAGACGGUAAAGGUACCUGCAAGAAUUUUAUUAGCACUCCAACGAUCAAGUCAAUAUUUGAAAGAGGUGAAAAAUUCUAUGGAAAUGGGGAACUUGGACAUUAACUGAAAAUAGAGUCAUGGUUCUCAUCAUUUGCUUAUACCUGGCACAGAAAAUUCCACUAAUAUAUAGUAGCAAAAACAAAGGGAAACAAAAAAUAUUUUUGUGCCUAUUCCUUCCCUUUUAAUUAUUUGUAUAAAGAAAGUUACAAAUUAAAAUGCAAUGUCAGAUUGAUACAGUUUAAGGCAUAUGAAUGCUAUACUUGUAAAAUUUUAUUGGUUUUACCUGAGAUUACUACAAUUUGUAACACAAUUUUUAUUGGAUGUUGAGUAUGAUGUUACCAACUA